AGUGAACGCUGGCGGUAGGCCUAACACAUGCAAGUCGAACGGCAGCACAGUAAGAGCUUGCUCUUACGGGUGGCGAGUGGCGGACGGGUGAGGAAUACAUCUGAAUCUACUUUUUCGUGGGGGAUAACGUAGGGAAACUUACGCUAAUACCGCAUACGACCUACGGGUGAAAGCAGGGGAUCUUCGGACCUUGCGCGAUUGAAUGAGCCGAUGUCGGAUUAGCUAGUUGGCGGGGUAAAGGCCCACCAAGGCGACGAUCCGUAGCUGGUCUGAGAGGAUGAUCAGCAACACGGGAACUGAGACACGGUCCAGCCUCCUACGGGAGGCAGCAGUGGGGAAUAUUGGACAAUGGGCGCAAGCUUGAUCCAGCCAUACCGCGGGGGUGAAGAAGGCCUUCGGGUUGUAAAGCCCUUUUGUUGGGAAAGAAAAGCAGCAGGUUAAUACCCCGCUGUUCUGACGGUACCCAAAGAAUAAGCACCGGCUAACUUCGUG
rnacentral:rRNA from 1 species